UACGUAGGGGGCUAGCGUUGUCCGGAAUCAUUGGGCGUAAAGAGCGUGUAGGCGGUUCGGUAAGUCCGCUGUGAAAGCCCAGGGCUCAACCCUGGAAUGCCGGUGGAUACUGUCGGGCUAGAGUCCGGAAGAGGCGAGUGGAAUUCCUGGUGUAGCGGUGAAAUGCGCAGAUAUCAGGAGGAACACCAAUGGCGAAGGCAGCUCGCUGGGACGGUACUGACGCUGAGACGCGAAAGCGUGGGGAGCAAACAGG
rnacentral:rRNA from 1 species